rnacentral:rRNA from 1 species
GACGAACGCUGGCGGCGUGCUUAACACAUGCAAGUCGAACGGAAAGGCCCGGCUCUUGUGGGGUGCUCGAGUGGCGAACGGGGGAGUAACACGUGAGUAACCUGCCCUUGACUUUGGGAUAACUUCAGGAAACAGGGGCUAAUACCGGAUAGGAGCUCUUGCUGCACGGGGGGGGAUGGAAAGAUACGGCGGUGGGGGCUGGACUCGCGGGUUAUCGGCUGGUUGGUGGGGUAGGGGCGUACAACGGCUUUGACGGGCAGCCGGCAUGGGAGGUUGGCCGGCGUCCUGGGUCCUGCGGUACGGCCCAGACUCCUACGGGCGGCAGCGGUGGGAAGUCUUGCGCAGUGGGCGGGCGCCUGAUGCAGCAGCGUCGCGUGCGGGAUGACGGCUUUCGGGUUGUAAACCGCUUUGGCCUGUGACGAGGCGGGAGUGACGGUAAUGGGUAAAGAAGCACCGGCUAACUACGUG